rnacentral:rRNA from 1 species
GACGAACGCUGGCGGCGUGCCUAAUACAUGCAAGUAGAACGCUGAAGGAGGAGCUUGCUUCUCCGGAUGAGUUGCGAACGGGUGAGUAACGCGUAGGUAACCUGCCUGGUAGCGGGGGAUAACUAUUGGAAACGAUAGCUAAUACCGCAUAAGAGUAGAUGUUGCAUGACAUUUGCUUAAAAGGUGCAAUUGCAUCACUACCAGAUGGACCUGCGUUGUAUUAGCUAGUUGGUGGGGUAACGGCUUACCAAGGCGACGAUACAUAGCCGACCUGAGAGGGUGAUCGGCCACACUGGGACUGAGACACGGCCCAGACUCCUACGGGAGGCAGCAGUAGGGAAUCUUCGGCAAUGGACGGAAGUCUGACCGAGCAACGCCGCGUGAGUGAAGAAGGUUGUCGGAUCGUAAAGCUCUGUUGUAAGAGAAGAACGAGUGUGAGAGUGGAAAGUUCACACUGUGACGGUAUCUGACCAGAAAGGGACGGCUAACUACGUG